CCUGUUCAAAAUACUGAUGGACCUUUCCUUCCCAUCUUUCUGAUUUCCCUGGAUUCCAUUUUCCCACUUAUUUCCUAACGCUUCUGCUGCCCUUUAUUUCCAUAGGUGCUGCUGAGCACCUCCCCAGCCCCUGGGGGACGAGAAGCAGCAAGAGCAGUUAAUUCUCCACCUGGCAUGAGAACACUUCUCUCCUUUCCAGCACCGAGGAGAAAUCCAGAGUAAUCCUAUUUUUGGUCUGGCUGAUAAUUGCACUCUUGCUGGCUGCAUAUUGAUGAACAGCGUUUUCAACAUCCCUAAUGAAUUUUUAUCAACAAGCACAAGGGGUUGUGUCUGCUGGCAGAGGUUUUUUAGCACUCCUCAGAGGCAUUUGAUGAGUGGAUGAACAUCACAAACCAAUUAAGAACAAGAGAUCUCAUCUGGCUUUUCACUGACUGAGAUGGAGAAUUAAAGUCAUUUUAGACCUGGUUUGAAGUUCCAGGUUUCCACACCAGUGGCCACUUACCACACCUGAGCCAAGAUUUCCUGGAAAGGUGGAGGAGAGGCUGCAGCACAGCCAGGUAAUGACACUCAUGCUGUAGCUCAGCCACGGGUGAGAAAUAACUUUCUCAUUCCACGAAUUCAAAUUGUUUCUCAACCAGACACCAAUCUUGAUAUAUUACAUGGGUUUUUGGGACUGGUUAAAUGUUUUCCAAGAAUCCAAAUUUGUAGUUUGUGCCUUAAAAUACAGCUGAAAGUUUGGAACACAAUUCCAAACCCAAGAACCUGGAAAGAAAAGAUUUUGGAGAUGGUUUCUGAGCUAAAGGACUCUGUGAUUCUGUGGUUAAAUAGUUGUGAGGUUUGUGAUCACCUGUGCUCCUGAUAGCCUGAAGCUUCU